rnacentral:rRNA from 1 species
UGUUGUAUAAUCUUUGCAAGAUGUACCGCAUCAUGGGUUAUAUAUAUAUUUUCCAGUUGCAAAAUUUUUCAAUCCAAGAAAUUGGGAAUAUGGUACCAUCCAAUUAACGACAAAUAAAGUGCCAGCAGUCGCGGUCAUACUUUAGGUAAAAGUAAAGAAAAAAAGAAUGCUUUAAGUAGAUAGAGGUUAAUUAGUAGUGAAAUAUACAUAUUUAUUAUAUACUAUUCUACUUAAUAAUACCAUAAAAACUGAGCACAAACAGGGAUUAGAUACCCCUUUAUGCAGUAAGUAGCCACAGCAUAUUCUGGGCACUACAACUUACUAAGUUAAAACCCAAGCAACAUGGCGGUAGUAAUGAAUAGUUAGGGGAACUUACUAAGUAAAUGAUAACCAUCAAGAAAAUGUACGCUAACUAAUAUUUUACAUACCGUCGUCGUCAGAUAUACUAUAAUAGAAUAUCAUAAUAUAGAACACGUAUUAAAGGACAGACCAAGGUGUAGACUAUGUUAUCGUUUCAGCGAGUUACUAUAAAAAUUGAUUUCACACUACAACUUUAAUGUUGCUGUCUGUAGGACUUAAAAGUAAUAAUUAAUGUAUUAAGCAUAUUAUAUGAAUAGCACUCAUACUGUGU